UACGAAGGGGGCUAGCGUUGUUCGGAUUUACUGGGCGUAAAGCGCACGUAGGCGGAUCGAUCAGUCAGGGAUGAAAUCCCAGGGCUCAACCCUGGAACUGCCUUUGAUACUGUCGAUCUGGAGUAUGGAAGAGGUGAGUGGAAUUCCGAGUGUAGAGGUGAAAUUCGUAGAUAUUCGGAGGAACACCAGUGGCGAAGGCGGCUCACUGGUCCAUUACUGACGCUGAGGUGCGAAAGCGUGGGGAGCAAACAGG
rnacentral:rRNA from 1 species